UGAGGAAUAUUGGUCAAUGGACGCAAGUCUGAACCAGCCAAGUAGCGUGCAGGAUGACGGCCCUAUGGGUUGUAAACUGCUUUUAUAUGGGGAUAAAGUGGGGAACGUGUUCCCUUUUGCAGGUACCAUAAGAAAAAGCCCCGGCUAACUACGUGCCAGCAGCCGCGGUAAUACGUAGGGGGCUAGCGUUGUCCGGAAUCACUGGGCGUAAAGGGUUCGCAGGCGGAAAUGCAAGUCAGGUGUAAAAGGCAGUAGCUUAACUACUGUAAGCAUUUGAAACUGCAUAUCUUGAGAAGAGUAGAGGUAAGUGGAAUUUUUAGUGUAGCGGUGAAAUGCGUAGAUAUUAAAAAGAAUACCGGUGGCGAAGGCGACUUACUGGGCUCAUUCUGACGCUGAGGAACGAAAGCGUGGGUAGCAAACAGG
rnacentral:rRNA from 1 species